CUCCUCGCUUCCCCGCCUUCCAGCAUCUGAGCGACUGUCCCGCUGGCCAAUCCCGGAGCUGGGUUACCUUCACGGUCCGCCCACUGCCGGAUCGGCCAACCGGAUGAGAAAAAGGGGCAUGGCUUAGCCUUACUCAUGCCCUCCCUCUGGGCUUAUUGAGAGUUAUAUCAAGAAAUUCAGUUCAGAGAGAAAGAGAAGAGAGAGUCAGUGUAAAGAGAGCGAGCGGCCAGGAGGGAGACGGGGAGGGAAUGCUGGAGCGCCUUCCUUCCAGCCAAGCCAUAAAGCGGCUCGGAUUUGUACCAUUUGCAACCUUCGCCCCACCAGGAGAUCAAAAGACAAGAUCAAGAAGCAAUUUUCCCCCUCUCUCCCCUCCCCCCUUUCCCCAUCAGCAAGCAACCUCACUCGGUGAUCCUAGUCUUCGAUGAGAAGUUGUGGGCUCAGUUGUAUCCUCUGUUUGCAGACGACGAGGAUGAUAAGGAAAGAGAAAUGGGGAUUUAAACGUGCGGUGCAGAGCGCGACGUGCCCCUGAUGCGCGUUGGGAUUGCUGGCUGGCUGCUUCGCGGAGUGACUGGCUUUCCGUCGGUUUGUUUAGCUGGUGGUAUCGCCUGCGCUACGAUCCAGACGCCCAAGAGGAUCACCAUCACUUUGAUGAUGACAAUAAGCAAAAUAAAUAAAUAACUUGCUUUUUAAUUUAUCUAUCCCCUCCCUCCUUAAGCGAUGGUGGCUGUGGAGAGGGAUUGUUGAAAGAAAAAAAGAGGAUGACUAACCCGAACAGAACUGUGAAUUUGUUCUUUGGAGUUGUUCAUCUGCUGCCGCGAAGCAACACCUUUGGGUUCAAAGCGGACGCGUCUGCCUUACCGAUCCCUUGCUGAUUUCGUUCUCCCUCGCCCCCACGCUUCCCUCCCCCCCCCCCACUGCCCCUCCAUUCCCCCAAAUCCGUAUUUGGUGGCUGGUACCAGAUGCACGCUGUGGUGUUUUCUCUGUGGCUUGCUCCUGGAAGAAGACCGGAUCCGUCCCCUGCUGCUGCAGCAGUUCAUCGGCACACGGUCGAGUGGCAGUUGGCUGUCUGGAAGUCAGAGCUCGAAUGUGAUGCAUCCUGCAGUCCUCCGCUUGCAAACAAGGCAGCAGUCCUUUGUGGAAACCUUGAAAUCCUAAAAUCCUGAGAA
rnacentral:lncRNA from 1 species